rnacentral:rRNA from 1 species
UACGUAGGGUGCAAGCGUUGUCCGGAACUAUUGGGCGUAGAGAGCUCGUAGGCGGUCUGUCGCGUCGGCUGUGAAAACUCGGGGCUCAACUCCGAGCUUGCAGUCGAUACGGGCAGGCUAGAGUUCGGCAGGGGAGACUGGAAUUCCUGGUGUAGCGGUGAAAUGCGCAGAUAUCAGGAGGAACACCGGUGGCGAAGGCGGGUCUCUGGGCCGAUACUGACGCUGAGGAGCGAAAGCGUGGGGAGCGAACAGG